rnacentral:rRNA from 1 species
AGAGUUUGAUCCUGGCUCAGAACGAACGCUGGCGGCGUGGAUAAGACAUGCAAGUCGAACGAGAGAAUUGCUAGCUUGCUAAUAAUUCUCUAGUGGCGCACGGGUGAGUAACACGUGAGUAACCUGCCCCCGAGAGCGGGAUAGCCCUGGGAAACUGGGAUUAAUACCGCAUAGUAUCGAAAGAUUAAAGCAGCAAUGCGCUUGGGGAUGGGCUCGCGGCCUAUUAGUUAGUUGGUGAGGUAACGGCUCACCAAGGCGAUGACGGGUAGCCGGUCUGAGAGGAUGUCCGGCCACACUGGAACUGAGACACGGUCCAGACACCUACGGGUGGCAGCAGUCGAGAAUCAUUCACAAUGGGGGAAACCCUGAUGGUGUGACGCCGCGUGGGGGAAUGAAGGUCUUCGGAUUGUAAACCCCUGUCAUGUGGGAGCAAAUUAAAAAGAUAGUACCACAAGAGGAAGAGACGGCUAACUCUGUGCCAGCAGCCGCGGUAAUACAGAGGUCUCAAGCGUUGUUCGGAAUCACUGGGCGUAAAGCGUGCGUAGGCUGUUUCGUAAGUCGUGUGUGAAAGGCGCGGGCUCAACCCGCGGACGGCACAUGAUACUGCGAGACUAGAGUAAUGGAGGGGGAACCGGAAUUCUCGGUGUAGCAGUGAAAUGCGUAGAUAUCGAGAGGAACACUCGUGGCGAAGGCGGGUUCCUGGACAUUAACUGACGCUGAGGCACGAAGGCCAGGGGAGCGAAAGGGAUUAGAUACCCCUGUAGUCCUGGCAGUAAACGGUGCACGCUUGGUGUGCGGGGAAUCGACCCCCUGCGUGCCGGAGCUAACGCGUUAAGCGUGCCGCCUGGGGAGUACGGUCGCAAGAUUAAAACUCAAAGAAAUUGACGGGGACCCGCACAAGCGGUGGAGUAUGUGGCUUAAUUCGAUGCAACGCGAAGAACCUUACCUGGGCUUGACAUGUAAUGAACAACAUGUGAAAGCAUGCGACUCUUCGGAGGCGUUACACAGGUGCUGCAUGGCCGUCGUCAGCUCGUGUCGUGAGAUGUUUGGUUAAGUCCAGCAACGAGCGCAACCCCUGUUGCCAGUUACCAGCACGUGAAGGUGGGGACUCUGGCGAGACUGCCCAGAUCAACUGGGAGGAAGGUGGGGACGACGUCAGGUCAGUAUGGCCCUUAUGCCCAGGGCUGCACACGUACUACAAUGCCCAGUACAGAGGGGGCCGAAGCCGCGAGGCGGAGGAAAUCCUGAAAACUGGGCCCAGUUCGGACUGUAGGCUGCAACCCGCCUACACGAAGCCGGAAUCGCUAGUAAUGGCGCAUCAGCUACGGCGCCGUGAAUACGUUCCCGGGUCUUGCACAAAGCGCCCGUCA